GAGCACUUGGCACAAUCAUAGAUCUCAAGAAGUGUUUGGAAAAUGGGCUAAAAUUGAAUGUUCUGCCUAAGAGGUCAAGAACGGAUGCCACAAGGCACAACGGGGUAGAGGCAGUGAAGAAAGCCAUUUAAUAUUCCUCCGCUUCCAUCACCAAUCCCACUUCAAAACAUAAGAGGUUUAUCAACAUCUCUGAUCCAAGUUAAUCAGCUAAUGAUUGUGAAAGAGACUUUGGGAGCACUAUGAUCCAAACCACCAUUUAAAAAGUGAUAAAACUAUGAGGUCAUUACACGAAUCAGAUGGCCUAAGAUCCCAGAGGUGGACCCUUCAGAUUCUAAGUAAUGAAAACAGUGGAAGCCUGGUUCUGCAAAUUUCAGCUCUUCCUUGUCAUUUGUCCAGAAGCCUAAACGGAAACAGUCUUCCUUCCAGGCCCAUCUAUCACAGCCACAGAGUUACGUAAUAAAACGUCAAAAUAAUGACUUGGAGACACUGUGAAAUGCUACAGUGCCUGCCAAACUUCCAAGAAACAGGUAAGCUUUUAUAAAAAUAAGUAUAUUUUAUGGACUUAUAAUACUUUGAAAAUUGAAAACAAUAUAUAGUUGAGCAUAAUAUUAAAAGUAGCAUCAUGACAUUCUUCAACUAUUUCAGUGAAAGCAGCCUUUUCACACACUAUCUGAGAUCAUUUCAGCUUUCAAAAAUGAUAAGAGUCUGCUUGUAAUUAACACAUAAAUGAUGACUCAAUGACAAUUUAAUUUUUUGUGUAAAAGCAACAUGCACUAGCAUGGAAUUCUCCCUAUUAAAGCCCAAUCUCCUUUGCUGUUAGUUUUCAGAUACUUUCUAAUAUGUAGUAUAAAAAUUUUUGCAUUAUUUUUUAAAAUAAAAAUUGGUUAAUUUUUUUUUCACAACCAAAGCCACAUAUAAGGAAGUUCCUGAUAAAAAUAAAAACAUCUUUUUCAAAUAUUCAUGUUCAUGGUAGGAAUUUUAGAAAACAGAAAAGUAUAAAGCAGAAAAUUAAAACUGUCUAGAUUUCACCAUCCAAAGAUGACUGCUUUUAAUAUUCUUAUACAUUUUUCUUUGGGUUUUAAAUCUUUUUGUUUAGAAAAAAUUUAGAAGGAUAGAAAAGUUGCAAGUAUAGCACAGAAGGUUACCGUAUAUACUUCAGACAGCUUCCCUUAAGGUUAGGGCUUACAUUAUCAUAGUACUGUUACCAAAACUUAGGAAAUCAACAUUGAAACAAUCCUAUUAAUGAAGCCAAAGACUAUUAAAAUUAUCCAGCUUUUUUUUUGUUUUGUUAUUAAUGUCCUUUUACUGUUUCCAGGAUCCUCUUUAGGAUCUCAUGUUGUAUUAGGUGUCAUGUUUCUGACGUGUGAUGAGAUUGACACUUCAGAAGAAGACUACUCAGUUAUUUUAACUUCUUUCUACAAUGGACAGUGGAAAAACUGGCUGUCAUUGUCUACAAUAUAUACCUUUUUAUUGCCUAGCUGCAGUAUACAUAGAAAAUAGUUUCAUUUGUUGUUGGUGUUUUUUUUUUUUUUUUUUUUUUAAGGGCUGUACUUGAGGCAUAUGAAAGUUCCCAGGCUAGAGGUCGAAUUGGAGCUGUAGCUGCUGUCUACACCACAACCACAGCAACACAGGAUCUGAGCCCCAUCUGUGACCUACACCACAGCUCACAGCAAUGUUGGGUCCUUAACCCACUGAGCGAGGUCAGGGAUGGAACCUGCAUCUUCAUGGAUACUAGUUGGGUUCAUUACCACUGCUCCACAAAAGGAUCUUCCAGAAAAUAGUUUCUGAAUUAUGAAUCUACACUCAUGUGAGAAAUUUACUAAGGUAAGUACAUUAUUUUUGUACAGUUCUUUUUGUCUCUAGCCUUAUAUCAUUCAGUCAAGACACUACUUUCCAAAGUAACAUAGAUUCCAGUUCUUUCCCUGUUCACAUCCUUCAGUGUUAUGCUAUUCAUUUGGGGAGGUGUGCCUGGGAAGCCUGAAGACCUGUUUCAUCUCUCUCCAAGUCCUUCCCACUGAACACCCUGUGACCAACAGUCACCAGCACCUUAUAAUAUGUGGUUUUACAUCCAUAUUAAAUCAUUCUUUCCCUCACUGUCCCCUAACCAAGUUCCUUUAUUGGGAAGCUCCAAAAAUUUAUACUGAAAAUACAUUUUUGUUAAAACUCCUUACCUAGAGUUUGUUUCCCCAGAGCUUGUACUGGAGUGAUGGAAAUAACAUGCUCCUUUGUAGUUCAAAGAGCUGCAGGGAACAGAAGCUCCCAAAACUGCCCUGAAGGCAACUGAAACUUUGGGCUUUAGCUGUCAUCAGGCAGCCCCACAGGACUGUCAACAGGUAGGAACCAAGGACUGUUCAAGCUGGCUGACCAGUUGUGGGAGGCCUUCCGGAAUGGCAGGUUUUCAAACAGUAGCAAGACUGUGGUGUCUUAAAAGCCCCGAUUUCUCUUCUGCCGUAGUAUGGACCAUGUUUCAUCCCAGACAUUUUGACCUCUGCGGCAGCCAUGACUGUGUAGCUCAAGGCAUUUUUAUUUCCUUUGAUUUGGUAUUUGCUAACUAUACUUCAAAUAUCUCUAGAACCAAAUGAUUCAUUGAACCCUUGAAAGCUAAAUGAAAAGAAUCUCAUAUUUUCCUGCUCUUUUUUUGGCCUUUUGAUACUCUUUAAUUUUAGAGUCAACUUUUCAGUUUGGAAACUGAAAAGGCUGAAGAACUUAGCCCAUUUAUAUCUUCAAAAAAUAAUGAAAUAGAUAAGCUAAGUCUGUCUUGAGGCAUCACAAUAAUAGAGUCUUCCCACUGAAAUGGACAAUUGCCUUUGUACAAUGGUUAAGGGCAGAUAGGAGAAGGAAGAAAGAGAAAGAUAAUGCCAUCUGCCCACCUUAUUAUUAUUAUUAUUUUUCCUAAAGCAAGUGUUGAAGAUUUUUCAGAUGAAAUAGGAGUGUUCCAUUUUACCUCCAUGCAGGGAUUCUUGGUAUAGUAGGAAGUGGUUUUCUACCCAUCUGAAAACUCUUCUUAGCCAGGCAUCAAAGACUGGAGCCAGAGAUGUAAGCAGGGGUGGGGUAGAAAGAGCUCAUAUGCUGAAUCAAUCAGCCUGGAUUUGAUUCAACCUGCUGUCAAUUACCAGCAAAGUGACUUUAAGCAAGUCACUUAAUUUUUCUGACUCUCUAUUUCCCCAUCCAUAAAGUCACACAUACCUCACAGGUUCUUAUUAGGAUCAGAUAAAAAAUUUGUGUCAAAAAGCCUGGAACAUAAUAGGCUUUCUAUAAAUGUUAAUUGAAUCAGAAAAUAACCUUGGGUCAACGUGUUCUGCCUUUCAGCCAACACCAGUGAUAGCAUUUUGUGUAUAGUGGUUUUGUCGCCUGGCUACUUAGGCACUGCCGUGGACAUUAUAACACAGGAGAAGCAAACUUUGACGAAUGGCAGCUCACAUUGUAGAGCUAACGCUUCAGACUCAAUCACACAUGGAGAGGAUGAUACACUAACAUCUACCACAGAAUUGUGGCCAAAGACUUAAUGUGAUGUGGCCUCUUCUGGGUAGGAAGAAAUACAACCAUAAUCUGGUGCCUCAAAUAAAGCCCUAUUUUAAGGAAAAUAAAACUCUUUCAGGAAUUUUCUCAGGACUGCUUGCCUUUUUUUUUUUUUUUUUUUUUUUUUUCCAACUGGACUCUAAAAAAUUUUUUGCAGCUGUUAAAAAAUGUUAUAAAAUAUCGGAGUUCCCGUCGUGGCGCAGUGGUUAACGAAUCCAACUAGGAACCAUGAGGUUGCGGGUUCGAUCCCUGCCCUUGCUCAGUAGGUUAAUGAUCCGGUGUUGCCGUGAGCUGUGGUGUAGGUUGCAGACGCGGCUCGGAUCCCGCGUUGCUGUGGCUCUGGCGUAGGCUGGUGGCUACAGCUCCGAUUCAACCCCUAGCCUGGGAACCUCCAUAUGCCACGGGAGCGGCCCAAGAAAUAGCAACAAUAACAACAACAACAACAACAACAAAAAAGACCAAAAAAAAAAAAAGU
rnacentral:lncRNA from 1 species